GACGAACGCUGGCGGCGGGCUUAACACAUGCAAGUCGAACGGAAAGGCCCUGCGUGUGUGGGGUGCUCGAGUGGCGAACGGGUGAGGAACACGUGAGUAACCUGCCCUUGACUUUGGGAUAACUUCAGGAAACUGGGGCUAAUACCGUAUAGGAGCUCAUGCUGCAUUGUGGGGAGUGGAAAUUUUCGGCGGUUGGGGAUGGACUCGCGGCUGAUCAGCUUGUUGGUGGGGUAGUGGCUUACCAAGGCAUUGACGGGUAGCCAGCCUGGGAGGGUGACCGGCCACCUUGGGCCUGCGGUACGGCCCAGACUCCUACGUGAGGCAGCAGUGGGGAAUCUUGCACAAUGGGCGCACGCCUGUUGCAGCAACGCUGCGUGCGUGAUGCCGGCCUUCGGGUUGUAAACCGCUUUAGCCUGUGACGAAGCGUUAGUGACGGUAAUGGGUAAAGAAGCACCGGCUAACUACGUG
rnacentral:rRNA from 1 species